AGCAUGUAGAAUUGUGUUACACAGAUGACUAAUAGGAAACGUAUUACCGGGCCUUAGAAUGGCCGGACUUAACGAACCAAAGAAUAGUCAGGAUACUUGGCGAGGUCAGGGGAUACAGAAAGAGACACAAUGAAAAGAGGAAGUCAGGGAUACAGAAUACAGGGAAGUCAAAAUCAAAGCCAAAGUCAAAAGCCAGAAAAAACUUGAAUCAGGAACGCGCUCUCGG